CAACAUGGCCUUGAACGGUGCAGAUGUCGAUGAUUUCACCUGGGAGCCUCCGACUGAAGCUGAGACGAAGGUGCUGCAGGCGCGACGGGAGCGGCAGGAUCGCAUCUCUCGUCUCAUGGGCGACUACCUGCUCCGUGGUUACCGCAUGCUAGGCGACACGUGCGCGGACUGCGGGGUGAGACGAUCCUCCUCCAAGAUAAACAGCGGAAAAUCUACUGCGUGGCUUGUCAGGAGCUCGACUCAGACGUGGAUAAAGAUAACCCGGCUCUGAAUGCACAGGCAGCCCUCUCUCAAGCUCGGGAACACCAGCUGGCCUCUACUACAGAGCCUGCCUCCAGCUCUCGGCCCCCAUCCCAGCCACCAGUACCCCGUCCAGAGCACUGUGAGGGAGCUGCAGCAGGGCUCAAGGCAGCCCAGGGGCCUCCUCUUCCUGCUGCACCUCCAAAUGCAGAC
rnacentral:lncRNA from 1 species